UCCCUUAUAGCUCAGUGGGUAAAGAAUCUGCCUGCAAUGCAGAAGACCUGGGUUCGAUUCCUGGGUUGGGAA
rnacentral:tRNA from 1 species